GACGAACGCUGGCGGUGUGCUUAACACAUGCAAGUGGUGCGACGAACCAGGCUUCGGCCUGGGGCAAAGCCGCGAACGGGUGAGUAACACGUGGGUAAUCUGCCCCGAUGACCGGGACAACCCGAGGAAACUCGGGCUAAUACCGGAUGUGGUGCCUGGACAUAAGUCCGGUCACUAAAGGUAGCUUCCGCUUCCGCAUUGGGAGGGGCCCGCGGCCCAUUAGCUUGUUGGUGGGGUCAAGGCCUACCAAGGCAACGAUGGGUAGCUGGUCUGAGAUUGCGAUCAGCCACGCUGGGACUGAGACACGGCCCAGACUCCUACGGGAGGCAGCAGUGGGGAAUCUUGCGCAAUGCGCGAAUGCGUAACACAGCAACACCGCGUGAGGGAAGACUGCCUUAGGGUUGUAAACCUCUUUCAGAUGGGACGAAGGUUGUCCGGUGAAUAGCCGAGAUGAUUGACGGUACCGUCAGAAGAAGCUCCGGCUAACUACGUGCCAGCCGCCGCAGGUAAUAC
rnacentral:rRNA from 1 species